GACGAACCGUGCGAACGUUGUUCGGAUUCACUGGGCUUAAAGGGCGCGUAGGCGGACGGUCAAGUCGGGGGUGAAAUCUUUCAGCUUAACUGGAAAAGUGCCUCCGAUACUGAUCGUCUCGAGGGAGGUAGGGGCAUGUGGAACUUCCGGUGGAGCGGUGAAAUGCGUAGAUAGUCGGAAGGAACGCCGGUGGCGAAGCGGUCUGCUGGGCAGUGCUG
rnacentral:rRNA from 1 species